rnacentral:rRNA from 1 species
AUACGGAGGGUGCAAGCGUUAAUCGGAAUUACUGGGCGUAAAGCGUACGUAGGCGGUCCGUUAAGUUAGAUGUGAAAGCCCCGGGCUUAACCUGGGAACUGCAUUUAAAACUGGCGGACUAGAGUUGAGUAGAGGGGAGUGGAAUUUCAGGUGUAGCGGUGAAAUGCGUAGAGAUCUGAAGGAACACCAGUGGCGAAGGCGACUCCCUGGACUCGAACUGACGCUGAGGUACGAAAGCGUGGGUAGCACACGGGAUUAGAAACCCCAGUAGUCC